rnacentral:rRNA from 1 species
GACGAACGCUGGCGGCGUGCUUAACACAUGCAAGUCGAACGGUGAAGCGCCUUCCUUUUUGGUGGGUGUGGAUGAGUGGCGAACGGGUGAGUAACACGUGAGUAACCUGCCCCCUUCUUCUGGAUAACCGCAUGAAAGUGUGGCUAAUACGGGAUAUUCUGGGUCUGUCGCAUGAUGGGUCUGGGAAAGAUAUUGUUUCGGUGGGGGAUGGGCUCGCGGCCUAUCAGCUUGUUGGUGGGGUGAUGGCCUACCAAGGCGGUGACGGGUAGCCGGCCUGAGAGGGUGGACGGUCACACUGGGACUGAGACACGGCCAAGACUCCUACGGGAGGCAGCAGUGGGGAAUAUUGCACAAUGGGCGCAAGCCUGAUGCAGCGACGCCGCGUGAGGGAUGGAGGCCGUCGGGUUGUGAACCUCUUUCGCCAGUGAAGCAGGCCUGCCUCGUUUGUGGGUGGGUUGACGGUAGCUGGAUAAGAAGCGCCGGCUAACUACGUG